UACGAAGGGGGCUAGCGUUGCUCGGAAUUACUGGGCGUAAAGCGCAUGUAGGCGGCAGCGCAAGUCGGGCGUGAAAUCCCACGGCUCAACCGUGGAAGUGCACUCGAAACUGCGCAGCUAGAGUCCUGGAGAGGAAGGUGGAAUGCUUGGUGUAGAGGUGAAAUUCGUAGAUAUCAAGCGGAACACCGGUGGCGAAGGCGGCCUUCUGGACAGUGACUGACGCUGAGAUGCGAAAGCGUGGGGAGCAAACAGG
rnacentral:rRNA from 1 species